rnacentral:rRNA from 1 species
UACGUAGGGUGCAAGCGUUACUCGGAAUUACUGGGCGUAAAGCGUGCGCAGGCGGUUAUGCAAGGCAGAGGUGAAAUCCCCGGGCUCAACCUGGGAACUGCCUUUGUGACUGCAUAGCUAGAGUACGGUAGAGGGGGAUGGAAUUCCGCGUGUAGCAGUGAAAUGCGUAGAUAUGCGGAGGAACACCGAUGGCGAAGGCAAUCCCCUGGACCUGUACUGACGCUCAUGCACGAAAGCGUGGGGAGCAAACAGG